rnacentral:rRNA from 1 species
AGAGUUUGAUCAUGGCUCAGAUUGAACGCUGGCGGCAUGCCUUACACAUGCAAGUCGGACGGCAGCGCGGGCUUCGGCCUGGCGGCGAGUGGCGAACGGGUGAGUAAUACAUCGGAACGUGUCCCGUAGUGGGGGAUAGCCCGGCGAAAGCCGGAUUAAUACCGCAUACGAUCUAGGGAUGAAAGCGGGGGAUCGCAAGACCUCGCGCUAUGGGGGCGGCCGAUGGCGGAUUAGCUAGUUGGUGGGGUAAAGGCCUACCAAGGCGACGAUCCGUAGCUGGUCUGAGAGGACGACCAGCCACACUGGGACUGAGACACGGCCCAGACUCCUACGGGAGGCAGCAGUGGGGAAUUUUGGACAAUGGGCGCAAGCCUGAUCCAGCAAUGCCGCGUGUGUGAAGAAGGCCUUCGGGUUGUAAAGCACUUUUGUCCGGAAAGAAAUCUUCUGAGCUAAUACCUCGGGAGGAUGACGGUACCGGAAGAAUAAGCACCGGCUAACUACGUGCCAGCAGCCGCGGUAAUACGUAGGGUGCGAGCGUUAAUCGGAAUUACUGGGCGUAAAGCGUGCGCAGGCGGUGCUGUAAGACCGAUGUGAAAUCCCCGGGCUUAACCUGGGAACUGCAUUGGUGACUGCAGCGCUGGAGUAUGGCAGAGGGGGGUGGAAUUCCACGUAGCAGUGAAAUGCGUAGAGAUGUGGAGGAACACCGAUGGCGAAGGCAGCCCCCUGGGCCAAUACUGACGCUCAUGCACGAAAGCGUGGGGAGCAAACAGGAUUAGAUACCCCGGUAGUCC